GUGCCUGGCCUGUUGAGUUCCUCCAGCAUUUUGCGUGUGUUGCUUGGAUUUCCAGCAUCUGCAGAUUUUCUCUUGUUUGUGAUUGAACCCAUGAACACUAUGUCACAUUUCUUUAUUAUGCACUACUUAUUUCAACAACUAUGUAAUAGGCACAAUAUACUUACUGUACUUCAGUUUUUCUCUAUAUUUCUUUGUUGUGUAUUUCAUUAUACUGCUACCCUAAAGUUAACAAAUUUCACAACAUGCUGGUAAUAUUAAACCUGAUUCUGAUUAGAAGUUGCCCUUCCCUGCUGUGUCACAGAGAUUCUACAGAGCUGGAAACUUGGACUACCACAUACAAAAUGCUAGAGGAACUCGGCAUAUCAAGUAGCAUCUGUGGAGGGUAAUGAACAGUGAAGAGGGAGGAGAGGAGCUUUUUAAAGCACACCCCAGCCGGCGAUAUCCCUGCUUGGGACGAAUCUCCCGGCGGGAACCGGCCGAGGAAAUUCGCGGCCCCGAGGUCAACGCUGUACCGACGGCCUCCGGCCACAUGGCGGCGUUGCGGAAUCACCCCGCCCUCUCCCGUUACUAGGCGGCGCUGCCGAGCGCGGCCAACUCCAGACAGAAUCCCAACCUCCUUCCCGGCUGGCUGGCAACCUGCAUGUGAAAAACCUUCUUUUUCAGAAUGGAUGUAUCAUUGUCUUCUGAUCAAGAGAUUCCAUCUAGUGCAGAAGAACAUGUGGAAGUUGAAGUAUCUGUUUUCCAGAUAGAAAGGGAGGAACCUGAAGAAGCAAUUGUACGAAUUAGACUGGGUAAUCGAUUACGGCAAAGAAGGCGACGUCAGCGUCUUCGUGCUGCUAGAAAUGAAGCACAGAGAGUGGAACCAUUGCAAAAUGGAUGUCAAUUACAAGUUACUGCAAAUGAAACUGAACAACCUGAAACUCAUUCGGAGAUUUUGCAGUUGAACCAAAAACAGCUUGAAAGCAUUCCUAAUGGCAACAAUGCCGAGUCUUCCACUGUUGAAGAUACUGCUAAUCAACUGGAAGAAAAUAGAGAGACUAUCGAUUUACGUGACUUUGAGCGAAUCCUGAGACGUCGAGAGAGUAUACGCUUGAGCCAACGAAGGCGGCGAGAACGUCUUCGUAACUUGAGUCGUAGUCUUGAAUCUUCUGAUCCACUUGCAAGAUGUCGAAACAUGAUCCUGGGCUUUAGGAUAUCUGAGCUUCAAGCACUUUUAAGAUUUGCAGGACGUAACAAAAGCGGACUGAAACAUGAAUUGGUGUCACGAGCCUUACACCUGGUAAGGACCAACUGUUCGUCAGAGAUUCUAAAGAAGAUUCAAGACUUGCAUGCUCAGAGGAACAGUUUAGCUUCAACAAAUGCACAGAGUCAACCGCUUCUGUCUGCGCCAACCUUUCCUUUGCAUUCUUCAGAAGCAGCUUUGAAUGCAAGAACAUCAGUUCCAAUUUGUCUCGCAGGAAAGGAUGAUACAAAGUCUAAAGUGAGAUUAACAAAAUUGCCUUUCUAUGAAAUAUUGGAUAAUCUCAUGGUACCUACAGAACUAGUCCCAACCAGCAUAGAGAGGAUUCAAUCAAAUGAGUUUCGUUUUGCAUUAACUGAAAAGCAAAGAGAGCAGAUUAUUGCUGGGUGCUCUAAAACUGGUGUGCAGACAGUUCAAGUUCAGUUAAGGAUUUGUCAUACAGACACUGAAUUUAUUCAGGAAGACCAGUAUCCCCCCUACCUGUCAAUAAAAGUAAACUCAAGAGUGUGUCCUUUCACGAGUUACUUUUCAUCAAGAAGACCUGGAGUAGAGCCAAGAAGACCUUGUCGACCCAUUGAUGUUACGCCUCUUCUCAAUUUGACAUCUCGUGGAGCUAACUACGUAAAAGUAUUUUGGGGCCAUUUUACUCAGCGAUAUUCUGUGGUACUAAACCUGGUAAGGCAGCACAGAGCUGCAGAGUUGUUGCAGAAACUUCAAGUAAAUGAAACCAGAGCCUCGGAAGUGUCCAGGGAGUUAAUUCGCAAAAAGCUUCAGCUGGAACCUGAUAAUGAUGUUACCACAACUGGCCUUCGUGUCUCUCUUAUGUGUAGCCUUGGUAAGAUGCGCCUUUCAGUGCCCUGCCGUGGUAUUACCUGCACACAUUUACAGUGUUUUGAUGCAGCUCUAUAUAUUCAGAUGAAUGAAAAAAAACCUACAUGGAUGUGCCCUGUGUGUGACAAGCCAGCUCCUUAUGAACUGUUGUUUGUAGAUCAACUGUACCUCUUGCGUGACCAGCUUCAGGUCGGGAGGCAGUUGGACAAAGCAUCUGUAACCCAACAGCACCAGGCUGUUUUUAGAUAUAUUGAAGGAGUGUGAAGAUGCUACUGAAGUUCAGUUUAAGGAUGAUGGCAGCUGGUCUCCAAUAAAGCCAGAAAAACAGCCUCAGAAGAACUUUGGAACCAAAUGUUCAGUAGUGGAAUUAGAUGAUUCCAGCAACAAUCAGUUUAGUAAUCCUGCAAAUGGCAAAAGUGAUGUGGACAUUAUCGACCUGACUGUAGACUGUUAAUAAGGAGGAUCAGCUGUUCAAAAAGAAUGUUACUGUGAAUGUUGGAGAGAGUUCAACAAACAUGAAGGACGCAUUAUGGAAAGAUCCAUUGAAAGAAGUCUACCUCUGACAUUGUAGGCUUUACUUUCAUUGAGGCCCUCCAGCCAUACCUACCUCUUGAAAGGAUUAGUACAGUAAAAGAUGACAAAUGGUCUGUUUGGAGAAAUGCUGCUCCUGAAGGGUGCAUUGUUGUAGAUGUGAAGGACGGAUACAUAGUUUAUAAAUUGUUUGGAGAAACGAGUACAGUACCCCAUAGUUGGAUUGCUUUUAAAUUCUGCUGUAUUAACUGCUGAACAAACAUUGAUACCUGGUCAUGUUCUUGUUCUUAGAAUGAAGCAUAUAGGAACAAAGUUUAACUGGCUUCUCCUGUUAAUUGCUUUCAUUUUUAAUUUCCAAAGCAAGUGCUUGCGUCAUGGAAACCGAAGAGUUUAUAAGUUGAUUUUAGAAGCUGAAACAUUUUGGGUUAGUGGUGUAUGCUAGCCCUUUUCCAUUUCGCUGUUUGAUUCUAAACACCUUGCAAAUAUAUUAGUAUUGGUUAAAACUGAGGUAGCUAUAGACAAACAGUGUUGAUUACAACUUUAGUUUAAACAGGUAGUUUGGAGGUGCAAAAAAACUUGCCUACUUAAUCCUUUUCCCACUACCUUGCAAAAAUGGUAAGUUUCCAGGAAAGUAUGACAUGAGUGUAAGUGCUACUCUCAAGAUGGGAAGGCUUGAGAGAGGAGUGUUUUGAGUGUUUUGCAUUUAUGAAUCUCUUAAGAUUUUAAGUUCGGCUAACUGGAUGGAAAGAUUUUGAAAUUUGACUGCAUCCUCCAUUAUCACUGCAGGAAAAUAGUAAUACAAAAUAAAAACUACAAAGAAUAUCCAAUCCAAAGAUUCAAUACUUGAAAUUUUCUUCCUGAAAAGGGUGCAAACAUGGAGGCUCCUUUUUUUUGAUGGAGUAGUAUUCCUUGUCAACUACACUGCCCAUAUUUAUUAUCGUUUAAUUUUCCAAACUUAUGGGCACCACAUUAGAAAACAUUGAGAUUGUGUGGAUCAAUGAGUAGAUUUUGCCAGUGCAUUUUCUGUUCGUUUCCACCAUGAAGCACUCUAGAAUUAUGCAAGGAGGCUGCCCUAUUUUUUUUUCCUUCCUUGGACAGGAAAAUUUGCUGAUAAGGAAUCCAAAUACUAGUCCAAGUUUGACUUGAACAUUAUUGAGCCCAUUACUUUGGUGCUCUAGCUACUGAUGUACCACAUGGUUGACAGUUGUUAUUCCUUUGUUACUUUGAAUAUGUUGCUGUACAAAGUUGUACAUAUUAUAUAGUUUAUUUAGUUUAUUUGUAACACUCAAAUUAGUUAUGUCACAAUGCAGAUUCCAAAUGAAUUGUUUGAGCAACAAGCAGAUCUUUGGGGUAUUUUACAUAUCAGGUUCAUCACUGAUUCCUAUAGUUAUUGUGAUGUGAAAAAAAUUGAACAUUGCUAACAAUUACUUUUUCAGCAGUUAAAUGAGAAUUAAUCCUGGAAAAUUUAGAUUUACUGCAUAAAGAUUCUGAAGAGAAAUUAUUUAGGUUAAUUAAUUUUUGCCUGUCUCCGAUUCCAUGUACUGUAUUGGCAUUAUUUCUGUUAAAACCGUAAAUCACUUUGGGUGAGUUUACUACUUUGACAGAAAAUUUUACCUGUCAUCUGGUUAUUAAAAUGAAAUAUGGUCAAGCAAAUUUAUUUUACAAUAACAAUGGUUUGCACCAUGAUUUUCAUGUGAAUAUCAGUGUUUAUGCUAUUGUCUCUGCCAUUAAAUUAAAGCUUUGGAUCACUAA